AUGCUACUACUACCACUAUUUCUACUAAUGCUACAACUACCACUAUUUCUACUACUACUGCUAACCCCUACUUCUACUACUAUUUCUACUACUACUGUACUACUACCACUACUACCACCACUAUUUCUACUACUACUAAUGCUACUACUACCACUAUUUCUACUACUACUAAUGCUACUACUACCACUAUUUCUACCACUACUAAUGCUACUACUACCACUAUUUCUACCACUACUAAUGGUACUACUACUACUACCACUAUUUCUACUACUACUAAUGCUACUACUACCACUAUUUCUACUACUACUAAUGCUACUACUACCACUAUUUCUACUACUACUACUACUUCUACCACUAUUUCUACUACUACUACUACUUCUACUACUACUAAUGCUACUACUGUACUACUAUAUUUCUACUACUACUACCACCACUAUUUCUACUACUACUGCUACCACUAUUUCUACCACUACUAAUGCUACUACUACCACUAUUUCUACUAAUGCUACAACUACCACUAUUUCUACUACUACUAAUGCUACUACCCCUACUUCUACUACUAUUUCUACUACUACUGUACUACUACCAAUACUACCACCACUAUUUCUACUACUACUGCUACCACUAUUUCUACCACUACUAAUGCUACUACUACCACCACUAUUUCUACUAAUGCUACUACUACCACUAUUUCUACUACUACCACUAUUUCUACCACUACUAAUGCUACUACUACCACUACUUCUACCACUACUAAUGGUACUACUACUAAUGCUACCACUAUUUCUACAACUACCACUAUUUCUACUACUACCACUAUUUCUACCACUACUAAUGCUACUACUACCACCACUAUUUCUACUAAUGCUACUACUACCACUAUUUCUACUACUACCACUAUUUCUACCACUACUAAUGCUACUACUACCACUACUUCUACCACUACUAAUGGUACUACUACUAAUGCUACCACUAUUUCUACAACUACCACUAUUUCUACUACUACCACUAUUUCUACCACUACUAAUGCUACUACUACCACCACUAUUUCUACUAAUGCUACUACUACCACUAUUUCUACUACUACCACUAUUUCUACCACUACUAAUGCUACUACUACCACUACUUCUACCACUACUAAUGGUACUACUACUAAUGCUACCACUAUUUCUACAACUACCACUAUUUCUACUACUACCACUAUUUCUACCACUACUAAUGCUACUACUAACACUAUUUCUACCACUACUAAUGCUACUACUAACACUAUUUCUACCACUACUAAUGCUACUACUACUAUAUUUCUACUACUACUACCACCACUAUUUCUACUACUACUGCUACCACUAUUUCUACUACUACUACUGCUACCACUAUUUCUACUACUACUAA
rnacentral:lncRNA from 8 species